rnacentral:rRNA from 1 species
UGGGGAAUAUUGCACAAUGGGGGAAACCCUGAUGCAGCGACGCCGCGUGAAGGAAGAAGUAUCUCGGUAUGUAAACUUCUAUCAGCAGGGAAGAUAGUGACGGUACCUGACUAAGAA